UACGUAGGGGGCAAGCGUUGUCCGGAUUUAUUGGGCGUAAAGAGCGUGUAGGCGGCCUGAAAGGUCAGCUGUGAAAACUCGAGGCUCAACCUCGAGACGUCGGUUGAAACCAUCUGGCUAGAGUCCGGAAGAGGAGUGUGGAAUUCCCGGUGUAGCGGUGAAAUGCGCAGAUAUCAGGAAGAACACCCGUGGCGAAGGCGGCGUCUCUGGGACGGUACUGACGCUGAGACGCGAAAGCGUGGGGAGCGAACAGG
rnacentral:rRNA from 1 species